rfam:Pneumocystis jirovecii, SE8, WGS project CAKM01000000 data, contig: 178
GCCCGGCUAGCUCAAUCGGCAGAGCGUGAGACUCUUAUCGUUGAAAUCUCAAGGCUGUGGGUUCGACCCCCACGUUGGGCG